AACCCUAACCCGAUAGCCUCCGCACCCCUCCCCUGCGUCGAACUCACACGAGCACCCCCACCCUCAUCCCCUUCUCUCUCUCACCCCCUCUUCUCCGACCUCGAGCUCUUUCACCUCUACUCAUCCUCCGCGUCCUCUCCAAGCUCUGAUCCCACCCCCAAAUCGCCCGUGCUAUCGCCCCCGACCUACUCUGCCUUGCGAGGACGAUCCUCGACCCGGCGAUCCGAUCCGAGCCCUCGACGGUGCUGCUUCUCUAUUCCUCUUCUCGAUUUGGUGCUCCGAUCCAUUGUGAUUCAAGUGAUUCAGAUGGCGAUUAUCUCGACUCGUGCAUAUGCUCCAUGAUGUAAGAUCACACUAUAUUUGUUCCUCUUACUAUGAAUGCAAGCAACUACUGAAACACACAUCCUGUUUGGAGUUGCUGUAUGCGAAAAUGCCCCAAGUUUUCUUUGUAGCAAUCUUUUUAGUUAUCACUAUUAACAUCUUAUGAGCGAACAAUUAGUGCUCGAGAGAGUUGAUGAGGAUGUUUGCAGAAACGUUCGCGGAUCAUUGAGAGUACAAGUGUUCAGCAGAGGAAAAAGGUGGUAAAAGAGAAAUUCGAUUACGGCUGCUGUACAAAUUCUAUAUUUAUUCUUUUCAUGAAUAAUAUAUUUCCGGAUCUCAGGUUUUGCUGCAGU